UGUACCUUAUGAAUAAGGACCGGCUAAUUCCGUGCCAGCAGCCGCGGUAAUACGGAAGGUCCGGGCGUUAUCCGGAUUCAUUGGGCGUAAAGCGCGCGUAGGCGGCCCGGCAGGCCGGGGGUCGAAGCGGGGGGCUCAACCCCCCGAAGCCCCCGGAACCUCCGCGGCUUGGGUCCGGUAGGGGAGGGUGGAACACCCGGUGUAGCGGUGGAAUGCGCAGAUAUCGGGUGGAACACCGGUGGCGAAGGCGGCCCUCUGGGCCGAGACCGACGCUGAGGCGCGAAAGCUGGGGGAGCGAACAGGGUUAGAUACCCUGGUAGUCCCAGCCGUAAACGAUGGACGCUAGGUGUGGGGGGACGAUCCCCCCGUGCCGCAGCCAACGCAUUAAGCGUCCCGCCUGGGGAGUACGGCCGCAAGGCUAAAACUCAAAGGAAUUGACGGGGGCCCGCACAAGCAGCGGAGCAUGUGGCUUAAUUCGAAGCAACGCGAAGAACCUUACCAGGGCUUGACAUAUGGGUGAAGCGGGGGAGACCCCGUGGCCGAGAGGAGCCCAUACAGGUGGUGCAUGGCUGUCGUCAGCUCGUGUCGUGAGAUGUUGGGUUAAGUCCCGCAACGAGCGCAACCCCCGCCGCGUGUUGCCAUCGGGUGAUGCCGGGAACCCACGCGGGACCGCCGCCGUCAAGGCGGAGGAGGGCGGGGACGACGUCAAGUCAUCAUGCCCCUUAUGCCCUGGGCUGCACACGUGCUACAAUGGCCGGUACAGAGGGAUGCCACCCCGCGAGGGGGAGCGGAUCCCGGAAAGCCGGCCCCAGUUCGGAUUGGGGGCUGCAACCCGCCCCCAUGAAGUCGGAGUUGCUAGUAAUCGCGGAUCAGCAUGCCGCGGUGAAUGCGUUCCCGGGCCUUGCACUAACCGCCCGUCA
rnacentral:rRNA from 1 species